UACGGCCAUAUCACGUUGAAACACCGGUUCUCGUACGAUCACUGAAGUUAAGCAAUGGCGAACCUGGUCAGUAUCUCGAUGAGUGACCGCUUGCAAUUAACAGAUGCUGUAA